rnacentral:lncRNA from 1 species
GGUGGUGCUGAUGGUGGCAGUGGGCAUCAUGUGUCUUUCCUCAGGCCCCAGAACCAGUCUUUAGGUCCUCUGAAGGCAUAUGCAGUUGCAAAGUAUUCUUGCCACUGAAGGGGAUAGUUGCUGUCAGUGGCAGUGGCAGCCAUCUCUCAGGCUCUGAGGAGUGCACACUUCUGAUCUCUUUGUCCUGGGGCAGCCUCCCUAGUGUGCCUCACCACACAUUCCUUGGGGUGUAGGACACUGUGUUGGCUAAAAUGCUGGAAACCCUGUCUCACUGCCUGGUCUAACCAGCAUUGUGCUGCUGCAGCCCUCUAGAUGUUCUAUUCGAUGGAUGUGCAGUUAUGUACUGCAUUGGUUGUUCUUUGUGGAGGGGACGAGUGCCAGGCACCUUUAUUCAGCCAUAUUGAAGCCCCUCCCAUCCAUUAAUACUAUGCAAGAUGGAAAAUUCUUAAAUGUUUUAAAUGAAGGCUGAAGAGAACCAGUAAAGAAAGAUUUAAAGUAUGAAGGAGCAAUAAUAUGCCCCCACCAAUGUCUUUUCCUACUAAACUCAUCAAAACAAGUCACAGAGAAACAAUGGGCAAAAUGUAUUCACUUUUUAAAAAUCUUCACUUAAUACAUGGUUUUGUUGCAGUGUUCUUUUAUAUAGGAAGUCAAAUUUGUAACUUUUAAAAAUAAAUGAGAUUUUUGUUUAUUUGUUGUCUCGAAAACGUUUACAAAACUCACUGAAAGCAUAAACAAAGAUUUUUUUUGUACAUUUAAAAUAAUUUUAGAAAAACUAUCACAUAUGACUAGGACAUACAUUUACUAUGAAUCACAGCUUAUAUGUACAGCAAAUGUACAAUCCUUUUAAUUUGUCUUCAGUUAAUCUGACCUUUCUAAUCUCCCUAGUUUUCAUACACUAGAAAUAAAAAUAACUUUGUGUCUUACCUUAUUUAAGAUCUGAUGAUGACUGUCCUUCUUGGAAUAAUAGCAGUCUCUCACAUCCCAGUUAACCAAAUACAGACUUUGGCCUCCAAUAUCAAGGAUCCCCCAAGUGGAGAAGAGAUGUUAACAAGCAAACAGUGGAGUCAGAAGACACUGGGCCAGAGAUGUCAACCCUUAAACUCUACAAUGAUAUCCGUCCCCCUGUACACACUUCCCAGCCAGGGAAGGAAGAGGUGGAAGAGAAAUUGAAAACUAAGCUUUAUUUUUCUAAACAGAUGAAAUUGAAAACUAAGCUUUGUUUUACUAAACAAAUUGAGAAAUAAUAAAAGGUAAAUUAACAGAGCUGACAUGGUGGCGCAUACCUGUAACUCCAGCUAUUCAGGAGCCUGAGAUGGGAAGAUCACUUGGACCCAGGAGUUUGAGACCAGCCUGGGCAACAUAGUGAGUCCCCAUCUCUACCAAAAAAAUUAGAAAUUAGCUGGGCAUGGUGGUGCAUGCCUGUAGUUCCAAAUACUCAGGAGGUUAAG